rnacentral:rRNA from 1 species
CGUAGGGUGCGAAGCGUUAAUCGGAAUUACUGGGCGUAAAGCGUGCGCAGGCGGUUUUGUAAGUCUGUCGUGAAAUCCCCGGGCUCAACCUGGGAAUUGCGAUGGAGACUGCAAGGCUAGAAUCUGGCAGAGGGGGGUAGAAUUCCACGUGUAGCAGUGAAAUGCGUAGAGAUGUGGAGGAACACCGAUGGCGAAGGCAGCCCCCUGGGUCAAGAUUGACGCUCAUGCACGAAAGCGUGGGGAGCAAACAGGAUUAGAUACCCUGGUAGUCCACGCCCUAAACGAUGUCUACUAGUUGUCGGGUUUUAAUUAACUUGGUAACGCAGCUAACGCGUGAAGUAGACCGCCUGGGGAGUACGGUCGCAAGAUUA